AUACGUAGGUGACAAGCGUUAUCCGGAUUUACUGGGCGUAAAGGGCGUGUAGGCGGUCUUGCAAGUCAGAAGUGAAAUUCCUGAGCUCAACUCGGGCGCUGCUUCUGAAACUGCAGGACUUGAGUGCUGGAGGGGAAAGCGGAAUUCCUAGUGUAGCGGUGAAAUGCGUAGAUAUUAGGAGGAACACCAGUGGGGAAGGUGGAUUUCUUGCCUGGAACUGGCGCUGAGGCCCCAAAGCCGGGGGAGCGAACGGGAUUAGAUACCCCGGUAGUCCACGCUGUAAACGAUGGGUACUAGGUGUAGGAGGUAUCGACCCCUUCUGUGCCGGAGUUAACGCAAUAAGUACCCCGCCUGGGGAGUACGGCCGCAAGGUUGAAACUCAAAUGAAUUGGCGGGG
rnacentral:rRNA from 1 species